rnacentral:misc_RNA from 1 species
AUAUUUUGAAUUAAGUAUAUUCAUAAUAUGUUAUCAGACGAAUGUUGUUAAAGAUAUAGGUUGAUAUUUGUGAAGGGAAAGAGUUGCCUCUCUCCCAACAAACAUUGCACACAAGGUGAGUACUAUUUUUAAAAAGUGCAGUAAAACACUUAUUAUGAAUGAUCCUUCCGCAGGUUCACCUACGGAAA